GACGAACGCUGGCGGCGUGCUUAACACAUGCAAGUCGAACGGAAAGGCCCUGCUUUUGUGGGGUGCUCGAGUGGCGAACGGGUGAGUAACACGUGAGUAACCUGCCCUUGACUUUGGGAUAACUUCAGGAAACUGGGGCUAAUACCGGAUAGGAGCUCCUGCUGCAUGGUGGGGGUUGGAAAGUUUCGGCGGUUGGGGAUGGACUCGCGGCUUAUCAGCUUGUUGGUGGGGUAGUGGCUUACCAAGGCUUUGACGGGUAGCCGGCCUGAGAGGGUGACCGGCCACAUUAGGACUGCGAUACGGCCCAGACUCCUACGGGAGACAGCAGUGGGAAAUAUUGCACAAUGGGCGGAAGCCUGAUGCAGCAACGCCGCGUGCGGGAUGACGGCCUUCGGGUUGUAAACCGCUUUCGCCUGUGACGAAGCGUGAGUGACGGUAAUGGGUAAAGAAGCACCGGCUAACUACGUG
rnacentral:rRNA from 1 species